CGGACGGGUGAGUAACACGUAGACAACGUACCCCUCCACUGGGGAUAGCCACUGGAAACGGUGGGUAAUACCGAAUAGAGUCUUGACAGGGCAUCCUGUCGAGAGGAAAGUCGUAAGGCGUGGAGGGAGCGGUUUGCGUCCUAUCAGCUAGUUGGUGGGGUAAUGGCCCACCAAGGCGACGACGGGUAGCCGGUCUGAGAGGAUGGUCGGCCACACUGGCACUGAGAUACGGGCCAG
rnacentral:rRNA from 1 species